UACGAAGGGGGCUAGCGUUGCUCGGAAUCACUGGGCGUAAAGCGCACGUAGGCGGAUUGUUAAGUCAGGGGUGAAAUCCUGGAGCUCAACUCCAGAACUGCCUUUGAUACUGGCGAUCUUGAGUCCGGGAGAGGUGAGUGGAACUCCGAGUGUAGAGGUGAAAUUCGUAGAUAUCCGGAAGAACACCAGUGGCGAAGGCGGCUCACUGGCCCGGUACUGACGCUGAGGUGCGAAAGCGUGGGGAGCAAACAGG
rnacentral:rRNA from 1 species